CCUACGGGAGGCAGCAGUGGGGAAUAUUGCACAAUGGGGGAAACCCUGAUGCAGCGACGCCGCGUGAGUGAAGAAGUAAUUCGUUAUGUAAAGCUCUAUCAGCAGGGAAGAAAAUGACGGUACCUGAGUAAGAAGCCCCGGCUAACUACGUGCCAGCAGCCGCGGUAAUACGUAGGGGGCAAGCGUUAUCCGGAUUUACUGGGUGGAAAGGGAGCGUAGACGGCAGUGCAAGUCUGGAGUGAAAGGCGGGGGCUAAACCCCCGGACUGCUAUUGAAACUGUACGGCUGGAGUGCAGGAGAGGUAAGUGGAAUUCCUAGUGUAGCGGUGAAAUGCGUAGAUAUUAGGAGGAACACCAGUGGCGAAGGCGGCUUACUGGACUGUAACUGACGUUGAGGCUCGAAAGCGUGGGGAGCAAACAGGAUUAGAUACCCCGGUAGUC
rnacentral:rRNA from 1 species